GGUGUGAUGAGUGCUUUUGUCUGGAGCCACUCCCCUGAGAACAGUGAAAGGUUACCGGCCUUUUUUCUGUGCAAAACUGGGUGCUGCUGAAUACCUUUAACUGCCGCUGUGACAUCAAGCCGUCUAGUGACUGGAACGCCUAUUUCCUUGUAUACAGUGUUUGAUGAUGGUUCCGGACCGUGGUUGGCAUCUCACACACUGGCGGAUAUUUGCACACCCGCAAAGGGCGAUUCUUUAGGAAAGAUGCACUACUAUGCAGUGCCUGACCUCGCGUGGUAGCGACUCAUCAAGCCGCCUGAAUUCCCGCCGCUUCAUGCAGUCCCACUGAAGUCAGAGGUUGGCAAGCCCAACAGAGAAUGGAGCCAGUAAGGGACCUGCAUUGACCUGUGGUGAGUGCUGGGAAUAAGACCCUCCCAUGGAAAAGUGAAAGGAUAGAAAUACAUGUUGAGACUCCUGCAUGCUUGCAACCUAUCAAGUUCACGAGAACUGAUCUUGUAAUGCUUGAUGCAGUGAACAACUACUGUGAAGAAAAAAAAGACACUACAGUAUCCAGUGCUGAUUCCGUAGUGUCAUGAUGUGAAAUCCAGCAAUACUAUUAUUCUUUGUUCAGAGUGUUUUUAGCCUGCUUUGGUUUGUUUAAUCUUAAUAUAAAUGAAGGUACGAGUAACUGCAUGUAUGUUUAAGUGUAUAGGAUUGAUAACCAUAUUACUAAGUUUUUGUUGGAUAGCUGAACUGAACUGUUGGCAGUCUCAUUUGAAUCCCCACUUUGUAUGCUUUACUUUUGUAACUUGAACAACUAUUUGUAAGAGGAUAAUAUGUAAUCAUCAACUAGUGAUUUCUUACCAUUUAUUUUUACUUUGAAAGUAUGUAUUAUUUCUACCCUUUUUCUGUUUUGUUUAGUCUUUCUUUAAAUAAAUAAAAUUGUUUAAAAACUAA